rnacentral:rRNA from 1 species
UGCCAGCAGCCGCGGUAAUACGGAGGGGGCGAGCGUUAUUCGGGAUUACUGGGCGUAAAGGGCACGUAGGCGGCGCGGUUAGUGAGAAGUGAAAGCCCUGGGCUUAACCCAGGAAUAGCUUCUCAUACUGCCGUGCUAGAGUAUGGGAGAGGGUAGUGGAAUUCCCGGUGUAGCGGUGAAAUGCGUAGAGAUCGGGAGGAACACCAGUGGCGAAGGCGACUACCUGGACCAUAACUGACGCUGAGGCACGAAAGUGUGGGGAGCAAACAGGAUUAGAUA